GAGUUUGAUCCUGGCUCAGAUUGAACGCUGGCGGCAUGCCUUACACAUGCAAGUCGAACGGUAACAGGUCUUCGGAUGCUGACGAGUGGCGAACGGGUGAGUAAUACAUCGGAACGUGCCUAGUAGUGGGGGAUAACUACUCGAAAGAGUGGCUAAUACCGCAUGAGAUCUACGGAUGAAAGCAGGGGAUCGCAAGACCUUGUGCUACUAGAGCGGCCGAUGGCAGAUUAGGUAGUUGGUGGGAUAAAAGCUUACCAAGCCGACGAUCUGUAGCUGGUCUGAGAGGACGAUCAGCCACACUGGGACUGAGACACGGCCCAGACUCCUACGGGAGGCAGCAGUGGGGAAUUUUGGACAAUGGGCGCAAGCCUGAUCCAGCAAUGCCGCGUGCAGGAUGAAGGCCUUCGGGUUGUAAACUGCUUUUGUACGGAACGAAAAGCCCUGGGUUAAUACCCUGGGGUCAUGACGGUACCGUAAGAAUA
rnacentral:rRNA from 1 species